AAGAGAGAACAAGUGGAUUUGAGAGAGUAUCACCUCCACAAGAAAAGGAAUGCAUGGACAGAAGCCUUAUCUCCACUUCUAAAAUGGAGUUCCAGAGGCAAAGGAAAGGACUAUUUUUUUAAGCUUUGUGCAGAUGACUCUCAUUUGGCCGACUCUUUCACGGAAGCUAUUCUGGAAAUUCUAGAAGAAACCUUCAAAGAGGGUGGUGAUUCAACGACACACAAUGAAAACACCUUGAGAAGUAAUACAAUAUCAACCUUUGAUGACUUUAUUACAGUUCAUUCUAUAGCCAUAUAUAAGAGAGAGCUGUGUCAGAAGUGGGUUCUGAUACCUACAUGAUAAGAGCAGGACUCAUUGGAAACCAGCAUGCCAUUCUGAUGCCACCAGUAUUGCAAUGUAAUUAUCAUUUCCGAGAAGGAAAAGAGAAAGAAGUGAACAUAAAGGCUACAGAGAAGUAAUUGCUGACAGUGCAAACAGAAAUAGAAACAACUGAAGUGCAAGAUAUGGAACCACUGAUAGCCAUAUAAAGUGACACUGAAGUACAUAAGUUGCCAUUGGGGAAAAGAGGAGAAAACGUAUUAAUAAAAACAGAAAUGUAGUUUGGGAACA
rnacentral:lncRNA from 1 species